rnacentral:lncRNA from 1 species
GGUCACGCAACGCCCAACACUGACUAUAAAAAGCUUGGCUGCCGGGUUUUUUUUGUUAGUUGACUUGCCUGCAGCAAAGAUGCGGCUUUGGGUUCUUCUUGUGAUGUUAAUAUGGAUUGCUGCAUGCAGCUCGUUACGCUCUGGCUCAGGAGGUCAAAGGGACGGUAACAGUUCGAGUGGACGCCGAUUGGGCUCCUUUAAAGGGUCUUUUCGUAAAAUGAUGAGUGGCUUAAGAAUAUCAAGAUCAGCUAGGAGGGACCACACCCCUUCGUCUCCUAGAGCUUCGUCAAGAUCACCAUCCCCAUCACGACUUCAGGAAGUUGAACUCGGUUACAGGUCGGAUGAUACGCAUUCAGAGACUAGUGCAGGAUUCAUGAACGAUUGAUACAUUGCAAUAGGAACUACAUGUCAUUUUAGAACACAUAUGCCAUUGGUUUCCCUAUUCAGGUACGCGCUA